AACAACCCAAGGCUAUGAUUGUUUUUGUGAAAAAGGAAUAACCAUACAAGAAAGUAGUAGAAUAGAGUAGAAUGUUAGAUAAUUCUUACCUAGCUCAACAAUCUGAGAUAUUCCAUGGCCUUGAAAAAUAGAAACAAAAAAUCACUUGUUUACUAUGUGCCAGGCACUGUUUUAAUCAUUUUACAUGUAUUAAUUUAUAAUUUAUGGCUACCCUAUAAUAUAGAUAUGUAGUUUUUUUAUUAAAUUUUAUAGACUGGAGAGCUGAUGCACUGAGUGAAGCAUAGUAAAUGAGAGUCAAGGGUGAGAUCCCAGCAGUUUGGCUCCAGAGCCUACAUUCUUUAUAUUCUGUACAUCUUCUAUAUUUCUAUAAUCAUGGUAUGGAAGGGAUGAUGGAUUAAAAGUUGGUAAGUAAAUCUGUAUUUAUUUCUGAUCUUAGCAUUAAAUUAUUGUGUGAUAUGGGGCAAAUCACGUCACCCCCUCUGACCACAAUUUCUAUAUUCUCAACCUGAAAAGAUCUUGAGCCAUUUCUUCUGAUUCUCAGGGAUUAAAAUCUGUGGAACAUGCUUACUGCUCUCUUCAUUAAGCUAUAGUCUGGGAUUUGGAAGUUUCCCUAGCUGAAGACACUUUGCCACUAACACAUCAUUCUGGAAAAAUAUUUUGAUGUCAGAAAAGACUGUCAUUUUGGGCCAACUUAGAAAGGAACGCGGUAUUGGGAACGCUCAAGACUUUGUGAAAAGCAGUUAGCAGUUCAGUUUUCUUCUGGUGGAGAAUGCAUACACAAUGAAAAAGCAAGGCCAGCAUAAUUGUGUCUUAUUUGAUUCUGUCAUUCAAAAUCAGAGAGUUUGAUUUAGGACAUGCUGUUCUUGGGAGUUUGUACAAUUGCCCCUAUUCUGAGCACAAACCCUGCAUGAUACCUCUUAAAAAAAAACUAAUAUUUGUGCUACAUUUGAGCUUUCUCAGGCUUCUGCUUAAAUAUUAGGAGUAAUUUAAACAUCUGAUUUAAAAUAUAUAUUGUUAUGUUCAGAGAUAAAUAGCUAAGUGUUGUUUGUACAUGUAUAUAUUAAAAAUAGAUAUUAUGUGUAAAUAAUUUGGAAAACAUUAAUAAAUGACAACAAAGAUUAUUUUUUAAAUAGAAGAUUGAUAGCUCUCAUCAGGAAAGAUUAAUGUAGUUAAGCCAUUUGGUCAUAAAACCUUAGAGUGGAAAAUACCUUAAAGUGCUAUCCCACCCAGCUUCUUUUUACCAGUGAGUGCCCUCACAAAAGCCUUGUGGAUGAUCAUUUUAUCCUUGCUUGAAUAAUUCCAGAGAUUGAGAAUUCACUGGAUUUUUCGACAGCCCAUUUUAUUUUUGGACAGCUUUAACUGUUGCUUUGCAUUGGAGCCAAUCAUUACUUCUGUUGAAAAUACAUAUUUUAAUCUACAUAUUGUUAUAAAAUAUAUCCUCAAAAAACUCAUGAUGUAAAACCAUCAGAUCUCUCACUCAUUAUCAUGAGAACAGCAUGGAGGAAACCACCCCCAUGAUCCAGUUACUUCCACCUGGUCCUGCCCUGUACACAUGAGGAUUAUUACAAUUCAAGUGAUCACGGGGACACUCUCUGCAUGGGAUGAGCCACCAUUUUCUCACCUGGAAUAAAACCACAAGAUUGGCUCCUUAUCUACUUCAGGUUGAUGUUUAGAAGAUGUGUCAAAUGUGUGUGUGUCAUGAAGUUCAAAAUUCUUCAAAAAUCAAUGGUAAUGCUGAUAUGGCAAAGACGCUAAAUUACAGGCAGCAGUGGGAAGCUACUGAGUAAAAAGCACAGAAUCGUUUCAUAUAUGAGCCCAUGAGGAAUAUUCUGUUCAAGGAAUGGAGACAUAAGAAAAUUACCUAACUAACUCAUGAACCACACAUUAAGAACGUAGUCAGCUGUUGUAAAUGUGUAUCCGACAACAAACCAUUAUGUAUCUUUGGUUUAAUUAUAUGUGUUUAUUACACACCUGUACUGGAGAGUAAAGGCUGCUAUUUGCAUUACUUGUGGUUUUCUCUAUCAAAACAGCAUUAGCAUUAUGAAGCUUAUCAAGGUUAUGUAUAAUUUAUCUGGCUUGAGUAAGUCCCUUUAUUUUGUGCACAAUCAAAACAUGAUUAGGGAGAAAAAUUAGGAAAUGUUUUAAACAUUUUAGCAAAUAAUUUCUAAAUUUAGAAAUGUAGUGAAUUUUACAUUUCUAGACAAAUAUCAUCAAAUUACUAAGCCUUUGUAAAUCAGCCUAUGUUUAGAAAGAGAGUAAAAAUGUUAGAUGAAUUCAACACUUAAUUUUUUCCCCAGAGUUUCAUCUUAAAGAGUAUUAAUUGUAACGAUGCUGAUGGUGUUAUUAACAGAGUACUUAUGAAUAUGGAAAAAUGUCAGACUUCCAAAUAAUCUGAGAUAUGCUAUUUUUACAAGUCACACUAAAUAAACAAUCUAGACAAAAU
rnacentral:lncRNA from 1 species